GCCGGGUGCGGCAGUGUGUGCCUAUAGUCCCAGUUACUCGGGAGGCUGAGGUGGGAGGAUUGCUUGAGUCCAGGAGUUCUGGGCUGUAGUGCGCGCUGUGCCGAUUGGGUGUCCACACUAAGUUUAGCAUCAAUAUGGUGACCUCCCAGGAGCGGCAGACCACCAGGUUGCCUAAGGAGGGGUGAAUUGGUACAGGUCGGAAAUGGAGCAGGUCAAAACCCCCGUGCUGAUCAGUAGUGGAAUUGGACCUGUGAAUAACCACUGUACUCUAGCCUGGGCAACAUAGCGAGACCCCGUCUCU
rnacentral:SRP_RNA from 1 species